rnacentral:lncRNA from 1 species
AACUUCACUACUACUUAAAACUAAAAGACAAUAUUUUCUCUCUACGCUAAGCUCAAAUCUAUGAUAUUCUUACCAAGCAAUAUCCUUCUUCUUCUUCUUGAUCUAGCUUCUUCUUUUUUGAAUUGACAAGUGGUUUUAUUCUUAUUACUACUCCAUCACUUAUAGCUGAGGUACAUACUACAUCCUCAUUCUCCGAUCCCUUUUAUUAAUUUUCUCAUAAUAUUGUUUAUAUAUAUAUUUUAAUUCUAAUGUUAGAAAGGACAUUUAACAGGCAGAAAUGAUCAGCAACGUAAAGCUUGAGCCAUCGCUUGAUGAAAACCAGCUGAACUUAGAUAAUAAAAUUAGUGCAAGUUGUGAUAUCACUGUGGACAUGAAAAGUGAUGAAGAGAUUUCUAAGCCAUUUGUUCCUAGUGUUAAGAUAAAGAAGUUUGCUGAUGAUGAUUCUUUACUGAUUGAAACCUUAGCUCAAAAGGAUGUUGCUCUAACAUCGGGUUUGUUUCAAAUUCUUGAAGAAGAAAAGCUUGACAUAGUUUUUGAGAAUCAGUAUAGAACUGAAACCAAAGUAGCUCACACACUCCAGGUAAUGACCACCCUAUCUUAAUUAAUUACGUCAUUUAUCAACUAACAACAAAAUAAUAUAUAUAUAUAUAUAUAUAACUGAAGUUCAGACUUCCACACUAAUUGAUCUUUCAAUAAUUUAAAAUUGUGUGUAUGAUUGAGCUAUUUGCUUUUGCAAUAUAACGUAUAAGACCAAGUUCAACCCUAAAAGUACCAUACCAUAAAUAUACUCAUAAAAGGACAUUAUGAUUGAGCUAUUUUCUUUUAGAUUUUUUAUCAGAUUGUUUUUUCUUGAUUUUGGAACAAAAUAUUCAACUUUGAACUUUCCAUUUCGGUUGUUGCCUUGUUGGACCAUUUUUUGGACUUGUUUCAUAUGAUAUUUGUUUUGGUUUUUGAACAAAAUAUUCAAGUUCAUAAGUAACACAGGAAAUUUGGAUGGAAACCUAUAUUUAAUGAAAUCAAUAACUCGAUAUUAUCACAUAAAAUUCUUAUGGCCACCAGAGCUAAGCUAGCUAGCACCUGCUCUGUGUUGUUUCUUAAUAUUAAUGGAUCUUUAUAUGUCUAAAAUCUAGCUAGUUGUUGUUGUUUUUUUUGUUUUUGGAAAAAUUAAUAUAUAGUUUGUUCUUCAUGAAUUUUUAAUUAUUUUUAAGCUAUUAAUUUCUGUUACAGUACUAUUGUAUUAUUAUUGUUAUUAUUCAAGUUAAUUUUAUAAUGUUGUUUUUUUUGCCAGUUCAAUUUGAUAAUGUUGAAUGUAUGAACGUAUUAUUAGGUGAAAGUGCAACCUGGAUACAACGUAGUCCUUGGAGAUGAAGCUACGUGUGUGGGCAGGGAAUCCCAUGUCACUGUCAGAAACAAUUGUUGAUUGUCAUAUCUAGCUACCACAUCAAUUGUCCAACGUCCAUGUCUGAAUUGAUUUGGAUAAUCAUGUCUACUACUGGUCAUUUGUUCAGUGAACUGUGAACAUGUUCUAUCGAUUCGUUUCUUAAAUAAAAUUAGUAUUGUUCAAUCUAGUUAAAUAUCUUUGAUAUCUGUUCAUGGAUUUAUUGUUAAAACAUA